CAUUUGCCGAAAAGCAUUUGCAUCAGUGAGGCCAGGAACUUACCUAUGGCAUUGUUGAAGCCAAUUACUGAAACAAUACUACUCAUAUGGACUCUGAUUACUGGCUGGUUGAAGUAUCACAGAAACCUUGAAGGAAAUAUGGAACUUCUCAAAAGAUUGUUAGAAGAGCUAGAAAGCCAAACUGCAGAUAUUGAGCAAAAGCUAGAUGCUGAGCCUCCUCAUCCAAUCAAAAGACAAGAAGAUGAAGUCUGUGAGUGGUUAGAAAAUGCAGAGAGGAUCAAAACUGAAGUACAAACUAUUUUCCAAAUCGGUGAAAGGAAAUUUCUCUCACGUGAACAUCUUGGGAAGCUUGUUGAUGAAAAAGUUAUAGAGGUUAAGGAAUUGCUCCAGGAAGGAAGAUUAUAUAGUGGGAUACCUGCGGAGAAGUGUUUCAAGUACUUGAUCAUUGGUGGUGGAAUUGCAGCUGGAUAUGCAGCCAGGGAGUUUGUCAAACAAGGGCUCAAGCCAGGUGAGUUAGCAAUCAUAUCAAAAGAAGCAGUAGCGCCUUAUGAACGUCCUGUGCUUAGUAAGGCCUACCUGUUUCCUGAGGGAGCUGCAAGACUUCCAGAGUUCAAUGUCUGUGUUGGAAGUGGCGGAGAGAGGCUGCUACAAGAGUGGUAUGUGGAGAAAGGUAUUGAAUUAAUUCUUAGCACAGAAAUUAUCAAAGCAGAUCUUGACUCAAAGAUCCUCACCAGUGCAGCUGGGAUGAAAUUCAGUUAUGACAUAUUGAUAAUUGCAACUGGUUCCAGAGCAGUAACAUUGACAGAUUUUGGUGUACCCGGAGCUGAAGCAAAGAACAUUUUCUGCUUGAGAGAAAUCAGUGAUGCUGACAAGCUUGUAGAAGAAAUUAGAGCCAAGAAAAAGGGAAAGGUAGUGGUUAUUGGAGGAGGAUACAUUGGUCUUGAAGUUGGAGCUGCUAUGAGAAUCAACCAGUUUGAUGUUACCAUGGUUUAUCCAGAACAAUGGUGCAUGCCACGGCUUUUCACUCGAGAGAUAGCUGCUUUCUACGAGGCUUACUAUGCGAACAAAGGCAUCAAACUCAUUAAAGGUACGGUUGCUGUUGCCUUUGAUGCCGGUGUGAAUGGAGAGGUAAAAGCAGUCAAACUCAAGGAUGGUAGGGUGCUGGAAGCUGACAUUGUUGUUGUUGGUGUUGGUGCAAAACCUCUCAUUGAUUUAUUUGAAGGCCAGGUUGAUAUUGCUAAAGGUGGAAUCAAAACUGAUGGAUUCUUCGAAACAGAUGAUCCCGAUGUAUAUGCAGUAGGCGAUGUGGCUACUUUCCCUAUGAAGUUGUACAGUGACAUGAGAAGAGUGGAGCAUGUUGACCAUGCUAGGAAAUCAGCAGAGCAAGCAGUGAAAAUUAUCAAGGCCAGUGAAGAAUAUAGAUCUAUUCCAGAGUAUGAUUAUCUUCCAUACUUCUAUUCGCGCGUCUUCAAUCUUUCGUGGACAUUUUAUGGAGACAAUGUGGGUGAUCCUGUGCUAUUUGGAGAUAACAAUCCGGCGUCAGCGAAGCCAAAGUUUGGAACAGCAUGGAUCAAGAAUGGGAAGAUUGUGGGAGUUUUCUUAGAGGGAGGCACAGCUCAAGAAAACAAAGCUAUUGCACAAAUUGCAAGGAUUCAACCACCAGCUGAUAAGUAUUUGGAUCGACUGAGAAAGGGUGGUUAUUUCUUUGCUUAAAAGAUGGUAAGGAACUCUCACUUGUAA